AGUCCUAUAACGAGCGCAACCCCUGUCGUUAGUUGCCAUCAAGUAAUGUUGGGUACUCUAGCGAGACUGCCGGUGCAAACCGAGAGGAAGGUGGGGAUGACGUCAAAUCAUCACGGCCCUUACGUCCUGGGCUACACACGUGCUACAAUGGCCGGUACAGAGAGCAGCCACUACGCGAGUAGGAGCGAAUCUUCAAAACCGGUCUCAGUUCGGAUCGCAGUCUGCAACUCGACUGCGUGAAGCUGGAAUCGCUAGUAAUCGGAUAUCAGCCAUGAUCCGGUGAAUACGUUCCCGGGCCUU
rnacentral:rRNA from 1 species